rnacentral:rRNA from 1 species
GACGAGAAGGUACCUUCGGGUACUGGAGAGUGGCGCACGGGUGAGUAACGCGUGGGGACCUACCUCUUAGUGGGGGAUAACGGUUGGAAACGACCGCUAAUACCGCAUACGCCCUUCGGGGGAAAGAUUUAUCGCUAAGAGAUGGACCCGCGUUGGAUUAGAUAGUUGGUGAGGUAACGGCUCACCAAGUCAGCGAUCCAUAGCUGGUUUGAGAGGAUGAUCAGCCACACUGGGACUGAGACACGGCCCAGACUCCUACGGGAGGCAGCAGUGGGGAAUAUUGGACAAUGGGGGCAACCCUGAUCCAGCCAUGCCGCGUGAGUGAAGAAGGCCUUCGGGUUGUAAAGCUCUUUCAGAUGCGAAGAUGAUGACGGUAACAUCAGAAGAAGCCCCGGCUAAUUUCGUGCCAGCAGCCGCGGUAAUACGAAAGGGGCUAGCGUUGUUCGGAUUUACUGGGCGUAAAGGGCACGCAGGCGGUCUUGCCAGUCAGGGGUGAAAGCCCGAGGCUCAACCUCGGAACUGCCUCUGAUACUGUAAGACUUGAGACUAGGAGAGGGUGGUGGAAUUCCCAGUGUAGAGGUGAAAUUCGUAGAUAUUGGGAGGAACACCAGAAGCGAAGGCGGCCACCUGGACUAGAUCUGACGCUCAGGUGCGAAAGCGUGGGGAGCAA